CCAGCAACUUCUCUCCUCGCAGGUGAUGCUGGACUUUGCUGUCUCCAAAAACUCAGCUGUGCGUGAGAGAGCUGUGAAGGUGAUUGAGAGGCUGAUUACUUUCAUCCGCUGGUAUUUGGUGAUCAAGAUCUUAGAGAACUUUGAAAACUAUGGCAACGAUGAGCCCACAGAUUUCAACCUGCGCAUCCCCAUCCUGGGCAAGCUGCUGGGCCACCUCUUGCUUUUCAGCAGUGGCGAUGAUUCCAUGAGACACUCAGCUUUGGAAAGUCUUCAUCGCAUGUACACAGUCGUCAGAGAAGGAAGAGAAGCUAGACGCUCACCUGCCGUCCAGGAGCAGUUCUCUGCUGCUGUCCUUCCCAACCCUCCCCAGAUCACCUACCACGCUCUUUUGUGGUGUCCCCCAGUCUAAGCCAUCAAUCGAUGAGCACUUCCCAAACCGCAUCUUCCCCGAGGAGUGAACAGCAGAGCCAGCCGUGCAUCACCAGGGAUGGUGACGCCCUCCAGAA
rnacentral:lncRNA from 1 species